AUUGAACGCUGGCGGCAGGCCUAACACAUGCAAGUCGAGCGGAUGAAGAGAGCUUGCUCUCUGAUUUAGCGGCGGACGGGUGAGUAAUGCCUAGGAAUCUGCCUGGUAGUGGGGGACAACGUUUCGAAAGGAACGCUAAUACCGCAUACGUCCUACGGGAGAAAGUGGGGGAUCUUCGGACCUCACGCUAUCAGAUGAGCCUAGGUACGAUUAGCUAGUUGGUGAGGUAAAGGCUCACCAAGGCGACGAUCGUUAACUGGUCUGAGAGGAUGAUCAGUCACACUGGAACUGAGACACGGUCCAGACUCCUACGGGAGGCAGCAGUGGGGAAUAUUGGACAAUGGGCGAGAGCCUGAUCCAGCCAUGCCGCGUGUGUGAAGAAGGUCUUCGGAUUGUAAAGCACUUUAAGUUGGGAGGAAGGGCAGUAAGUUAAUACCUUGCUGUUUUGACGUUACCGACAGAAUAAGCACCGGCUAACUUCGUGCCAGCCGCCGCAGUAAUAC
rnacentral:rRNA from 1 species